rnacentral:rRNA from 1 species
AGUGAACGCUGGCGGUAGGCCUAACACAUGCAAGUCGAACGGCAGCACAGUAAGAGCUUGCUCUUACGGGUGGCGAGUGGCGGACGGGUGAGGAAUACAUCGGAAUCUACUUUUUCGUGGGGGAUAACGUAGGGAAACUUACGCUAAUACCGCAUACGACCUACGGGUGAAAGCAGGGGAUCUUCGGACCUUGCGCGAUUGAAUGAGCCGAUGUCGGAUUAGCUAGUUGGCGGGGUAAAGGCCCACCAAGGCGACGAUCCGUAGCUGGUCUGAGAGGAUGAUCAGCCACACUGGAACUGAGACACGGUCCAGACUCCUACGGGAGGCAGCAGUGGGGAAUAUUGGACAAUGGGCGCAAGCCUGAUCCAGCCAGACCGCGUGGGUGAAGAAGGCCUUCGGGUUGUAAAGCCCUUUUGUUGGGAAAGAAAAGCAGCAGGUUAAUACCCCGCUGUUCUGGCGGUACCCAAAGAAUAAGCACCGGCUAACUUCGUG